AUUGAACGCUGGCGGCAUGCUUUACACAUGCAAGUCGAACGAUAACAGGGUGCUUGCACCGCUGACGAGUGGCGAACGGGUGAGUAAUGCGUCGGAACGUGCCGAGUAGUGGGGGAUAACGCAGCGAAAGUUGUGCUAAUACCGCAUACGUACUGAGGUAGAAAGUGGGGGACCUUCGGGCCUCACGCUAUUCGAGCGGCCGACGUCUGAUUAGCUAGUAGGUGAGGUAAAGGCUCACCUAGGCGACGAUCAGUAGCGGGUCUGAGAGGAUGAUCCGCCACACUGGGACUGAGACACGGCCCAGACUCCUACGGGAGGCAGCAGUGGGGAGUUUUGGACAAUGGGCGAAAGCCUGAUCAGCCAUGCCGCGUGUCUGAAGAAGGCCUUCGGGUUGUAAAGGACUUUUGUCAGGGAGGAAAUCCCUAGUGCUAAUAACACUGGGGGAUGACAGUACCUGAAGAAUAAGCACCGGCUAACUACGUGCCAGCCGCCGCCGUAA
rnacentral:rRNA from 1 species